CCUAUCCAUGAUCUCCUCAACUCAAUUGUCAACCGCCCAUUAAAUUCAAUAUUUUAUUCUUGAAGAGCAGUUGAAAGUCCCCAAUUUUUAAUUUAAAUCGUUUAAAUUCAACAUUUUAUUCUUGAAGAGCAGUUGAAGUUACUAGCACACAUUCUCUCCCCACCCACGUUUGCGGCCUAUAACCUCCCUGAUUUCUCUAAAUAAAAACCCUUAUCACCGCAAAAACUUGCUCGUCUGCCUCCUUUCCACUCUCCAGCCAUCCAUCUCUGUCUUCAUCUUAUCUCUGUAGUGCCGGUUCUCUCAUUUUUCAUCGAUUUAUAUGUUUUGCUUGUGUAUACAUCAUAGCUAUUGAUCGGUUUUGUGUUGAUUUGCAUAUCUAGGGUUUUUCUUAGUUCAGUGAUAUCAAUUAGCCAUUAAUCAUGUGACAGAGGCCUAGCGCAUGGAACGAGGUCCGGUGGAAACGUUACAAAGUGGUCGUCAUUCGUAAUCAUCAUUGGUAUAUAUGGAAGAUCAAUGGAACUUGAUUGUCGCUGGCUCCUCCACAUGAGGGUUUCUACAAAUGCAUCAGCGUUGGGCUUUGCCACUCGAUCUGCCGUUUUUGGUGGCUUUUUGUUAGCCCUAAUUCGAAGUCUGAUUCUUCUUAUGUGCAACCAGGCUCGAAGUCUGAUUCUUCUUCACCGUCGUCUUUGUUUGAUCCAUAUCAAAAACCGAGAGCUGGAAGUGAUUGUUAUCCAGACUGUCAAAGCUAGAAAUGGAUGUGAAAAUGAAGGAAAAAUUCAUUUUGGUGUUAGUUUUGAGAAGUUUGGUGGACCAGAACGAACACAAUUUCAUCCGGCCUACAUCACACAUGGCUAACUACACAAUGUUAAGAUUUGGCAGUGUUAUUAGAAAAUAGUUCAGGUAAUAUUCAGUCAUGGUACCGACACAUAACCCGCGGAGGGUGACCAUUUUCUACUCCAGAUAAUGGUUGGCCUGUAUCUAAUUGCACUGCAGAAGCUUUGAAAGACGGUGCUGAUGCUUUCACAAAUGCCGUAUGACAUGGUUGGAGAAGCAAUAGCACCAGAAUGUCUGUAUGAUGCUGUUCAUUUGCUUCUAAGACUUCAGAAUAACAAUGGAUGAUAUUCUUCCUAUGAGCUUAUGAGGUCCUACCCAUGAUGAUCAAUCCGGCUGAAACUUUCGGAGACAUCAUGAUUGAUUACCAGUAUGUGGCAUGCCUAUUAUGCUUUAUGUCAAUUUGUAUAUAUACGUAUUCGAUCAUGUUAACUAAUGUAAAACAGUGCAAAACUCUUACUAAACGGGAUCACUCUUCAGAGACCGGAUUAUGCAAGAUAAUUGAAAAACAUCAAAUGGCCGAAUUUACCAAUUGCUCUCUUCAAUGGGAUGUCAAAAUGAAGCAAUAUGCCAGAAAAAGAGGGAAAAAUAGAAUCCAGCAUAUUCAUUGUGGUUAAGAACACCCGGUUCAAAUUUUUUUGUAUACCGCGCUUAUAUUUUUGUGAGUUGUCAAAAUUGCCAAUUUUGAAACAUGGUUUUUGUUAAUUUUUGUUACAAAUCUUAGAGGCCAUUUUGAUUCUUAUUAAACAGUUGACCCAAGAUUACUAAUGUACACAUAAGUAUAAAUUUAGAUAAGAGGUAUAAUGACCUUUAUGGUUUUAUAAUA